rnacentral:tRNA from 1 species
GGCUCGUUGGUCUAGGAGUAUGAUUCUCGCUUUGGGUGUGAGAGGUCCCGAGUUCAAAUCCUGGACGAGCCC